CGCCGCGUGAGUGAUGAAGGUUUUCGGAUCGUAAAGCUCUGUUGUUAGGGAAGAACAAGUGCCGUUCAAAUAGGGCGGCACCUUGACGGUACCUAACCAGAAAGCCACGGCUAACUACGUGCCAGCAGCCGCGGUAAUACGUAGGUGGCAAGCGUUGUCCGGAAUUAUUGGGCGUAAAGGGCUCGCAGGCGGUUUCUUAAGUCUGAUGUGAAAGCCCCCGGCUCAACCGGGGAGGGUCAUUGGAAACUGGGGAACUUGAGUGCAGAAGAGGAGAGUGGAAUUCCACGUGUAGCGGUGAAAUGCGUAGAGAUGUGGAGGAACACCAGUGGCGAAGGCGACUCUCUGGUCUGUAACUGACGCUGAGGAGCGAAAGCGUGGGGAGCGAACAGGAUUAGAUACCCUGGUAGUCCACGCCGUAAACGAUGAGUGCUAAGUGUUAGGGGGUUUCCGCCCCUUAGUGCUGCAGCUAACGCAUUAAGCACUCCGG
rnacentral:rRNA from 1 species